UACGUAGGAUGCAAGCGUUGUCCGGAAUUAUUGGGCGUAAAGAGCGCGCAGGCGGCCUAUCAAGUCAGAUGUGAAAUAUCCAGGCUUAACCUGGAGGGGUCAUUUGAAACUGGUAGACUAGAGUACAGCAGAGGAUAGUGGAAUUCCCGGUGUAGUGGUGAAAUGCGUAGAUAUCGGGAGGAACACCAGUGGCGAAGGCGACUAUCUGGGCUGAAACUGACGCUGAGGCGCGAAGGCUAGGGGAGCAAACAGG
rnacentral:rRNA from 1 species